rnacentral:rRNA from 1 species
UACGGGGGGUGCGAGCGUUGUCCGGAAUCACUGGGCGUAAAGGGCGCGUAGGUGGUUUGAUAAGGGUGUGGUGAAAGUCCGGAGCUCAACUCCGGAUCUGCCGUGCCGACUGUCAAACUCGAGGGCUGUAGAGGCAGACGGAAUUCCGGGUGUAGCGGUGGAAUGCGUAGAGAUCCGGAGGAAGACCGGUGGCGAAGGCGGCCUGCUGGGCAGUGGCUGACACUGAGGAGCGAAAGCAUGGGGAGCGAACAGG